rnacentral:snRNA from 1 species
AUUCUGGCUGUGGCAGGACACAUAGUAAAAUUGUACUGCUACGGGAAAGAUUAGCCUGACCACUAGUGCGAGGAUGACAUGCAAAUCAGUGAAGUGUAGCAUAGUUUU